AUGACUGAACCGAAGUAUAUAAACCAGUCGGAGCGUGAAAAGCAACUUAGUUACACAUCCCCUCAAGGAAGAAAACUAAGAAGUAUUGAUGAUUUUGUUGAGCUUUGUCGCUGUGAACAUGAUUUUCCUUACGCGGCCUCGAAAUACCCUCCUAAAUGCCUACAAUAAACAACUCAUCUGCAACGUGAAAGAAACAACUCGCACCUGUUUUGAGAUCAUCCGGAUAGACCUCUAGCCAGUAGGGGACCAUCAGACCAACAAGUAUAGAGGUU